rnacentral:rRNA from 1 species
CAGUUCGGAUUGUAGUCUGCAACCCGACUACAUGAAGCUGGAAUCGCUAGUAAUCGCGGAUCAGAAUGCCGCGGUGAAUACGUUCCCGGGUCUUGUACACACCGCCCGUCACACCAUGGGAGUUGGAAAUGCCCGAAGUCAGUGGCCCAACCGGAAGGGGGGAGCUGCCGAAGGCAGGUUCGAUGACUGGGGUGAAGUCGUAACAAGGUAUC